UCUUCGGUAGCUUAGUUGGUAAAGCACUCGUUUUCCAUACAAGAGUCCUGGGUUCAAAUCCCAGCCAAGUAC
rnacentral:tRNA from 1 species